GAUGAACGCUGGCGGCGUGCCUAAUACAUGCAAGUCGAGCGAACGGACGAGAAGCUUGCUUCUCUGAUGUUAGCGGCGGACGGGGGAGUAACACGUGGAUAACCUACCUAUAAGACUGGGAUAACUUCGGGAAACCGGAGCUAAUACCGGAUAAUAUUUUGAACCGCAUGGUUCAAAAGUUAAAGACGGUCUUGCUGUCACUUAUAGAUGGAUCCGCGCUGCAUUAGCUAGUUGGUAAGGUAACGGCUUACCAAGGCAACGAUGCAUAGCCGACCUGAGAGGGUGAUCGGCCACACUGGAACUGAGACACGGUCCAGACUCCUACGGGAGGCAGCAGUAGGGAAUCUUCCGCAAUGGGCGAAAGCCUGACGGAGCAACGCCGCGUGAGUGAUGAAGGUCUUCGGAUCGUAAAACUCUGUUAUUAGGGAAGAACAUAUGUGUAAGUAACUGUGCACAUCUUGACGGUACCUAAUCAGAAAGCCACGGCUAACUACGUG
rnacentral:rRNA from 1 species